rnacentral:lncRNA from 1 species
UUUUAUAAAAGGCAACUUAUGUUCACUUAUUAUUGAUAGUGGGAGUUGUUCGAAUGUAGUGAGCAGUUAUUUGGUGGAUUCUUUAAAGUUACCUUGUACCGAGCACCCUAAGCCGUAUCACCUUCAGUGGCUUAAUGAAUGCUCGAAAUUUAAAGUUACAAAAUAGACGUUGAUCACUUUUAAGCUCUUGAAUUACGAGGAUGAGGUAUGGUGUGAUGUGGUCCCAAUGCAUGCG